rnacentral:rRNA from 1 species
GUGUCAGCCGCCGCGGUAAUACGUAGGUGGCAAGCGUUAUCCGGAAUUACUGGGCGUAAAGCGCACGCAGGUGGUUUGCUAAGUUUGACGUGAAAGCGCCUGGCUUAACUGGGCGAGGUCGUUGGAGACUGGCAGACUUGAGGCGAUGAGAGGGGUGUAGAAUUCCCGGUGUAGUGGUGGAAUGCGUAGAUAUCGGGAGGAAUACCAGUGGCGAAAGCGGCACCCUGGCAUUGGCCUGACACUCAUGUGCGAAAGCGUGGGGAGCAAACGGGAUUAGAAACCCGCGUAGUCC